GUGGCUCCUGAGUCUCGGAGCCCCUGCACCGCUUUUCCUUCCAGAUAUACAGUUUGCCUGUGGUGUUGGCGAUUAUCUGCAUUGGCUUGUAGCGGGUUGGCUUCAUGUACUACCUCCCACUGUUCUAUUGUAGUGACGGGGACUGCGGAGCCAUAGGCGGCGGCUGUCUCCUCCUGGUAGUGGUGUGCGGCUGCUCUCGGUGGUGGUGGUGGUGGACCUGGCCUUAUCCAGGUAGAUCG